UGUGUCAUGUUCUCAUGCACAUCAACAGAACGGGUCAGCAGAGCAAAAGCAUAGACAUAUAGUUGAAGUUGGUCUUUUCCUUCUAGCUCAUGCAUCUAUGCCCCUAAAAUUCUGAGAUGAAGCCUUUCUUGCAGCAACUUUUCUUAUAAAUAGAACUCCUACUAAGGUUCUCCAAUAUGACACACCCACGGAGCGUUUGUUUCAGGUCUAGCCCGACUACUCAUCCUUGAGAGUUUUUGGGUGCUCCUGCUGGCCUAACUUGCGUCCUUUUAAUACCCGCAAACUCCAAUUUCGCUCCAAAGAAUGUGUGUUCUUGGGAUACAGUAACCUACACAAGGGGUUUAAGUGUCUCAGAUAUUUGAAGCAAUCAACUAAGAUUGGAUUGAAAAUUAGUAAGAGCAACUCACUGCUUGUGAGCGGGUUCUCUGAUGCAGAUUGGGUUCUCGACAGGAGGCUUUGCUAUUUUUCUAGGGACUAAUCUUAUGUCUUGGAGUGCACACAAACAAGCUACUGUGUCAAGAUCGAGCAUAGAAGCAGCUGCAGCAAAUGCCACAGUUGAAAUUAUGUGGAUACAGACACUUCUAAAAGAGAUUGGUAUAUCACAUCCUCCAAUGGCAAAAAUAUGGCGUGACAACAUUGGAGCCAAGUAUCUAUCAGCUAAUCCUGUGUUCCAUGCUAGAACUAAACAUAUUGAAGUUGAUUAUCAUUUUGUACGAUAAAGAGUUUUGAAGAAAUUAUUAUGUAUUGAUUAUGUACCUAUACUCUGAUUGAGGGAGGGUGUAAGAAAUAGAGUUUGGUUAGCAUAAGUGAUAUGUAUUGUUACAUCUAGAAUAUCUAUCCUUGGUAUUGUAGAUAGAAGGUUGUUAAGAUUAUUUACUUGUAAACCAAGGAUGAUUGUAACUUAUCUGUAAGUCACGGAUGGGGCUGUUCCAUCCCUAUAUCAACACGGCAUGGGUGCAUCACUUUAACCCAAAACUACUUCUGCAUCUUUGAUUAACUUUCACAAAUAUCUAAUUACCGAGCAAAAGCUAACGUCCAAUGUUUGGUCAGAUAUUUACGGAUGGUGCGACAAGGCCACCGAUAAAGCAAUAGAUUUACCGGAGUGGAUAUUGUUUUGCAAGAGCUAUGGUGAUAGGCCAACUUGCAGGCACGUCAUACAUGAGCAACUGACAAAU
rnacentral:lncRNA from 1 species